AGGAUGAACGCUGGCGGCGUGCCUAAUGCAUGCAAGUCGCACGGCUCCCCUUCGGGGGUGGCAGUGGCGGACGGCUGAGGAACACGUGGGUAUCUGCCGUGCGGUGGGGGACAACAGUCCGAAAGGGGUGCUAAUCCCGCAUACGUCCCGCUGCGAAGCGGGGGAAAGCGCGCAAGGGCGCCGCACGAGGAGCCUGCGGCCCAUCAGGUAGUUGGCGGGGUAACGGCCCCCCAAGCCGAUGACGGGUCCCUGGUCUGAGAGGACGACCAGGCAGACUGGGACUGAGACACGGCCCAGACUCCUACGGGAGGCAGCAGCAAGGAAUUUUCCCAAUGGGCGACAAGCCUGAGGAAGCAACGCCGCGUGGAGGACGACGGCCGUUCGGUUAGUAAACGUUCCGUUUGGGGGGACGAUAGAUCGACGGUACCC
rnacentral:rRNA from 1 species